UUGAACACUAGGAGAAAAGUGCCUAUACCUAAUAAAAUUAAGUGAAUCUCCAAAAUAGUUGGUCAUUUUAUUUCUAUCCUUCCA
rnacentral:antisense_RNA from 1 species